CAGGGAGACAACAAAAUGUUUAAUAUUAUUAUUUUGUCACCUUAGGUCGAUCGGUAUCUCACGUUUUUAAUUUAUUAAGAAUUUCAUUUCCUAAGUUUUUCUAGGUCACACCCAUUAUUUUCCUGGGCCAUUAGCUCAGGUGGUUAGAGCGCACCCCUGAUAAGGGUGAGGUCCCUGGUUCAAGUCCAGGAUGGCCCAUAUCUCUAUGUUGGGGGUAUAGCUCAGUUGGUAGAGCGCCUGCUUUGCAAGCAGGAUGUCAGCGGUUCGAGUCCGCUUACCUCCACUGAUUACCACCUCUUCCAUAAUUCGUAGAAGGGAAAUGUUAUGUGUUGUGAUCAACUUCUGAACGAAUCUAGCUUCCUAAUGAAAUCAUUAAGAUGCUGGACUCAUUGAAUUAAUUUCAUUGUUUUCAGAGAACCUUGACAACUGCAUAGAUUAUUUUUAAAGACAAUAAGCAUCUUUAAUGAUGCAGAUUUAUUAUUUGUGCGAAUGCAUUAAUAACAAUUCUAUUAAGCUGAUGCUUCAAUUUUGAAGUUAUU
rnacentral:tRNA from 1 species